rnacentral:rRNA from 1 species
CCUGGUUGAUCCUGCCAGUAGUCAUAUGCUUGUGUCAAAGAUUAAGCCAUGCAUGUCUAAGUAUAAGCAAGUCUAUACAGCGAAACUGCGAAUGGCUCAUUAUAUCAGUUAUAGUUUAUUUGACUGUACCCUUUACUACUUGGAUACCCGUGGUAAUUCUAGAGCUAAUACAUGCUUAAAGGCCCGACUUCUGGAAGGGCUGCAUUUAUUAGAUAUAAGACCAAACGCCCUCUGGGUGAAACUUGGUGAAUCAUAAUAACUUUGCGAAUCGUGUCCGUAUGGAGACGAUGGGUCAUUCAAAUUUCUGCCCUAUCAACUGUCGAUGGUAUGGUCGUGGCAUACCAUGGUGAUAACGGGUAACGGGGAAUCAGGGUUUGAUUCCGGAGAGGGAGCCUGAGAAACGGCUACCACUUCCAAGGAAGGCAGCAGGCGCGCAAAUUACCCAAUGCUAACACAGUGAGGUAGUGACAAUAAAUAACAAUCCAGGGCCCUUGUGGUCUUGGAAUUGAAAUGAGAACGACCCAAACAACCUAUCGAGGAACAAUUGGAGGGCAAGUCUGGUGCUAGCAGCCGCGGUAAUUCCAGCUCCAAUAGUGUAUAUUAAAGUUGCUGCAGUUAAAAAGCUCGUAGUCGGAAUUUGAGGGGAUUUGGCGUUUGGCCGCCGAGUUAGUUUUCUAGCACGGGAGAGCCAUUAGCCGCCCUUCAUAUCUUCCUGGGGAACUGAUCUGCCCUUUAUUGUGGUGGGUUCUGGGAGCCAGGACUUUUACCUUGAAAAAAUUAGAGUGUUCAAAGCAGGCAAUAACAGCUUGAAUAUACUAGCAUGGAAUGAUGAAAUAGGACUUUGGUCUUGUUUUGUUGGUCUUCGAGGCCGAGGUAAUGAUUAAUAGGAACAGUUGGGGGCAUUUGAAUUGAGUGGUUAGAGGUGAAAUUCUUGGAUCCAUUCAAGUCAAACUACUGCGAAAGCAUUUGUCCAGCAUGUGUCCAUUGAUCAAGAACGAAAGUUAGGGGAUCGAAGACGAUUAGAUACCGUCGUAGUCUUAACUAUAAACUAUGCCGACUGGGGAUGGGACUGACUUAUUUAGAGCAGUUCUGGACCCUGGAGGAGAAAUCAAAGUUUUUGGGUUCCGGGGGGAGUAUGGUCGCAAGGCUGAAACUUAAAGGAAUUGACGGAAGGGCA